rnacentral:rRNA from 1 species
UGCCAGCCGCCGCGGUAAUACGGAGGGUGCGAGCGUUAACCGGAAUUACUGGGCGUAAAGCGCAUGCAGGCGGUUGAUUAAGCGAGAUGUGAAAGCCCCGGGCUUAGCCUGAGAACUGCGUUUCGAACUGGUCAACUAGAGUCUUGUAGAGGGGGGUAGAAUUUCAGGUGUAGCGGUGAAAUUCGUAGAUAUUAGGAAGAACACCAGUGGCGAAGGCGGCUCACUGGCCCGAUACUGACGCUGAGGUGCGAAAGCGUGGGGAGCAAACAGGAUUAGAUA